rnacentral:rRNA from 1 species
GUUUUUCUAUUUUACCAAACAGACCUUAAAACUUAAGAGUUAUUCAAAUUAGGCACAGCUUAUUUGAAAUAGGAUACAACCUCCCCCAUUGGGUAAGCAAAAGCAGUGAAAACAAAGUGGGCCCAAAAGCAGCCACCUUCCAAAAAGCGUCAAAGCUUAAUUAUUCUAACUAACAAUCCCUAAAACACUCUCCAACCCAUCACCCCUACUGAACUAUUUUAUAAUACUAUAAAAAUAAUUAUGCUAGAACUAGUAACAAGAAGUCGCCCUUCUCCAUAAUGCAAGCAUAAACCAAAACGGACACUCCAUUGGUAAUUAACGUAAAUGUAAAACCAUAACAACACAACCAGAAAACCUUAUGGCCGCCACACGUUACCCUAACACCAGAGCAUUACAGGAAAGAUUAAAAGAUAAAGAAGGAACUCGGCAAAUUUUAACCCCGCCUGUUUACCAAAAACAUCGCCUCUUGACUAAAUAUAAGAGGUCCAGCCUGCCCAGUGAUAAUAUUCAACGGCCGCGGUAUACUGACCGUGCGAAGGUAGCAUAAUCACUUGUUCUUUAAAUGGGGACUCGUAUCAACGGCAUCACGAGGGUUACACUGUCUCCUCUCUCCAAUCAGUGAAACUGAUCCCCCCGUGAAGAAGCGGGGAUUCAAUUAUAAGACGAGAAGACCCCAUGGAGCUUUAAACCCAACAUACACCUCUACAUUCAAACACCAAUUUAACCAAAAAGGCCUGUACGUCGGUUUUAGGCUGGGGGGGCCACGGAGUAAAACUAAACCUCCAUAAUAAAUGGGCUAACACCCUAAUCUAUGACUUAUGAGUCUAAGAAUCACUAAAAUGAUGUUUAAUGACCCGAUAAUUCGAUCAAUAGACCAAGUUACCCUGGGGAUAACAGCGCAAUCCACUUCAAGAGCCCCUAUCGACAAGUGGGUUUACGACCUCGAUGUUGGAUCAGGGUAUCCUAGUGGUGCAGCCGCUAC